GAUGAAGAACGUAGCGAAAUGCGAUAAGUAAUGUGAAUUGCAGAAUUCAGUGAAUCAUCGAAUCUUUGAACGCACCUUGCGCCCUUUGGCCAUUCCGAAGGGCAUGCCUGUUUGAGUAUCAUGAACACCUCAACUCUUCAUGGAUUUCCAUGAUGAGCUUGGACUUUGGGGGUCUUGCCGGCCUGUGGUCGGCUCCUCUCAAAUGAAUCAGCUUGCCGGUUUUUGGUGGGCAUCACAGGUGUGAUAACUAUCUACGCUUGUGGUUUUCCACCAGGGUAACCUUCAGCAGUGGAGGUUCACUGGAGCUUACAAAUGUCUCUCCUCCGUGAGGACAGCCCUUUGAAUGUUUGAUCUCAAAUCAGGUAGGAAUACCCGCUGAACUUAAGCAUAUCAAUAAGCGGAGGA
rnacentral:misc_RNA from 1 species